rnacentral:rRNA from 1 species
AUUGAACGCUGGCGGCAGGCCUAACACAUGCAAGUCGAGCGGUAACAGGGGAAGCUUGCUUCUCGCUGACGAGCGGCGGACGGGUGAGUAAUGUAUGGGGAUCUGCCCGAUAGAGGGGGAUAACUACUGGAAACGGUGGCUAAUACCGCAUAAUCUCUCAGGAGCAAAGCAGGGGAACUUCGGUCCUUGCGCUAUCGGAUGAACCCAUAUGGGAUUAGCUAGUAGGUGAGGUAAUGGCUCACCUAGGCGACGAUCCCUAGCUGGUCUGAGAGGAUGAUCAGCCACACUGGGACUGAGACACGGCCCAGACUCCUACGGGAGGCAGCAGUGGGGAAUAUUGCACAAUGGGCGCAAGCCUGAUGCAGCCAUGCCGCGUGUAUGAAGAAGGCCCUAGGGUUGUAAAGUACUUUCAGUCGGGAGGAAGGCGUUGAUGCUAAUAUCAUCAACGAUUGACGUUACCGACAGAAGAAGCACCGGCUAACUCCGUGCCAGCCGCCGCGGUAA